AACGGGGUCGAUCUCGCACCUGAUUGGACAAUGUGAGCCACCGGAGUGUUUGAUUGGAGGGGAUAGCCUGUCAAUCAAGACUAGAUGUCCCGCCUACUGGCUAUCUCGUCGCUGAUUGGCCGGUUGUUUUAAAGCACUGAGCGCCCUUUCUCUGUCUGCAGAGCAGAGAUGGAGGGGAUCAAAUUACAAGCAAAAAAAAAAGGAAUAAUGUGACGAUUUGAAAACACUGCAGCCACUCCUCCUUUUCUAUAUUUAACACUUGAAACAAAAUGUGUUCCUGCUUAAGAGUGCUUGCACUUUCACUGUUUUACAAACCUGGUAAAUGGAGUCAUAUACACACUGCAAUUUGCACAUUAAAACAAGCAUAAUUAAGCAAUUCAUUAUUCUAUUACAAGAUAACUUAAAGACACAACAUACCUACAUAUAGCCUCAGAGCUAUACAUCCCCUUUACAAAUUAAAAUGUAUUCACAUAUUAAAAUUGGCAAUUGAUAAUAGUUUGAUAUCAAUGUACAUUAAUUAAUAAAUGUCAAUUAUACUUAUAUAUUAUAUUUUUCUUAAUGUAUAGUCAUUGGAGAACAGUCAGUUAGUGAACUAUAGUUGUCUGUUUCAUUUGAUACAAAGAAAAGGAAAAAAAUCAUGUGCCACACUGGCUGAGGAUAGGCUAUAGCAAUAAAUGUGUUGCUUUGUGAUUUGUGAGUAUCAGAGAUAGUAAUGGGGUGUGGUGUGUGUGGUACAGUAAGUGUGUGUGUGUAACUACAGUACUGUGUGUAAACCUUUACAGCAUGCACUGAAUUACAGCUAUUGUCAUAAUACUAUUAAAUGUGAUUUUUUUCCCCCUGGAAAAGUACAAAGUGAGCAAAAAUUAUAACAUGCACCCUAUGAAUGAUGUUUCUGGGGGUAUUUGAUGACAGAUGGAAGUGCUUUUCCAGACCUCAUAGACGCUUCUGAAAUAUAUUUCAAGUGUAACUGAUAAAACAUGAUUUAAAUGUUAUAUUUCUCCAAAUAUUGUUCCCUUUUCCUGUUAAUUAAGAAUCCCUUUAUCUUGUUGAUAUAGUGUUUUGUCUGAUUUCCCUAACCGGCUGUUUCUGUUCUCCUUCGGAAGUUCUUUGAGGUGAACUUUCUUUGCCGUCACUCAUCCACUGUAAAACCAGAGGAAGUGGCAACACACAACUUUGCGGGCCCUGAACUCUGUUAUUUAAGCCUGCACAUGGUCAGAGCCUCAGUUAGAAAGAAGCCAAAAAUAUGUUUUUGCUUUAUCACAGGUAAAAUCUACACAUUUUGUGCCAUGACACUCUGACCUACAAUGGAAUCCCUCAACUUUCAACAAAACCAUUGGAGCGGGAACGACCUUUUUUGCCACGCCUGUCAUUGUUUGCGACCACACACAGCUAUCAUAAAACAUUAACCUGCAGUUAUCAGCUAGUUGUCAGAGCAACAGAGUAAUUUCCACUUGCUUAACUUUAGAUUACCUAAACAUAUUUGCGUGUGCUCUAGAUAAAAUGGAUUUAAAUAUUUCUAGACUAAUGUUUGUGUCCUUAACUUGCCCCAACACUCCCACGGAGGGUAUCUUGACACAAGUAUGCUUUCAGUCUCUAAUUUUAGGGCCUCCGAGGGACAUAAUCCUACACCACCUCACUUAUCUUCUCCAUGCCAUGAAGAGAAGAAGCCUCCAGGCCCUAUUUAGUUAUUCACCUCACAUUCAGCGGAAAUAUAAUUAUAAAGACUGUAAUUACUUGCAGAGAUCAAAGGGUUGUGUGUCAGUGUAGUAGGUGGUUACUUUGAGUAAUUUGAGAUUUAUUUUCUGUCUAGGUUUUUUUUUUCAACUUAUGCUGAAAAUAAGU